AACGAACGCUGGCGGCAGGCCUAAAACAUGCAAGUCGAACGGGUGUAGCAAUACAUCAGUGGCGCACGGGUGAGUAACGCGUGGGAACAUGCCCCUUAGUACGGGACAACGUCGGGAAACUGACGCUAAUACUGUAUAAUAUCUCCGGAUCAAAGAUUUAUCGCUGAGGGAGUGGCCCGCGUCUGAUUAGCUAGUUGGUGAGGUAAUGGCUCACCAAGGCUACGAUCAGUAGCAGGUCUGAGAGGAUGAUCUGCCACACUGGGACUGAGACACGGCCCAGACUCCUACGGGAGGCAGCAGUUAGGAAUAUUGGACAAUGGGCGAAAGCCUGAUCCAGCCAUGCCGCGUGUGUGAUGAAGGCCUUAGGGUUGUAAAGCACUUUCGUUGGGGAUGAUAAUGACCGUACCCAAAGAAGAAGCACCGGCUAACUUCGUGCCAGCAGCCGCAGUAA
rnacentral:rRNA from 1 species